ensembl:lncRNA
AGGAAGAUGAUAAAAUGCACAAUGAGCCUAGAAGACCCCUCUGCAGUGCAAGCACCAGUCCAAGCACAAAUUGAGAGACACCCAAGACCUCCAGAAGGAGAGUUCAUCCCAGUGUGAAUGAUCAGGCAAAGGAGGUCUACACAGAAAUGAUUUAUUGUCUACAAAAAUCAGCACCCACAGCCACAAAGUCUGAUCCUCUGUUUGGACUACCACCCAGGACAAUGGAUUGGAUCCCAGUAUGCGACACAAAACAACGGCACUGCAGAAGGGGCAGACGGAGCGGUCUUCUGGUCAGGCUCCGUAGACGGGCACAUCGUUUACCUCUCCUGAGUAUACUAUUCGCAAAUGUCCAGUCUCUUGACAACAAGGUAGACGAAAUUUGAGCAAGGAUUGCCUUCCAGAGAGACAUCAGAGAUUGUAACAUUCUUAGUUUCACGGAAACAUCGGAAACACGGAAACUCACUCAGGAUACAUUAUCAGAGUCGGUAGAGAAACCCGGUUUCUUCACACAUCACGCCGAAAGUAACAAACAUCUCUCUGGUAAGAAGAAGGGCGGGGGUGUAUGCCUUAUGAUUAACGAGUCGUGGUGUGCAACAUACAGGAACUCAAGUCCUUUUGUUCACCUGACCUAGAAUUCCUUACGAUCAAAUGUCAACCGCAUUAUCUACCAAGAGAAUUCUCUUUAAUUAUAAUCACAGCCGUGUAUAUCCCCCCCCAAGACACCUCGACGGCCCUGAAAGAACUUCAUUGGACUCUAUGUAAAUUGGAAACCACAUAUCCUGAGGAUACAUUUAUUGUAGCUGGGGAUUUUAACAAGGCUAAUCUGAAAACAAGGCUCCCUAAAUUGUAUCAGCAUAUCGAAUGCGCGACCUGGUCUGGCACAACUCUGGAUCAUUGCUACUCUAAUUUCCGCGACACAUACAAAGCCCUUCCUUGCCCUCCUUUUGGCAAAUCUGACCACGACUCCAUUUUGUUGCUCCCAGCCUAUAGACAGAAACUAAAACAGGAAACGCCCGUGCUCAGGUCUGUUCAAUGCUGGUCCGACCAAUCUGAUUCCAUGCUUCAAGAUUUCUUCAAAUCAAAUCAAAUUUUAUCCGAUCACAUGGACUGGGAUAUGUUCCAGAUAGCAUCGGACAACAAAAUUGAUGUAUACGCUGAUUCGGUGAGCAAGUUUAUUAGCAAGUGCAUUGGUGAUGUGGUACCCACGGUGACUAUUAAAACCUUCCCCAACCAGAAACCGUAAUACACUACAUGUUAUUUUACCAUAGCCCCAUGUCACUCUGGUCAACUGAAAUGCGCCAUAUGUAAUGUAUAUUAAGGUUAUAAUAGGGUUUCAUUUGAGUUUUUCCUUUUGUCCCUAUCUUCUCUGUUGUAAGAAUGUAAGAAUCAUGUUCAUCGAUUACAGCUCAGCAUUUAACACCAUAGUACCCUCCAAAUGCGUCAUUAACUUAAGCUCGAGAACCUGGGUCUCGACCCCGCCCUGGGCAACUGGGUCCUGGACUUUGACGGGCCACCCCCAGGUGGUGAGGGUAGGAAACAACAUCUCCACCCCGCUGAUCCUCAACACUGGGGCCCCACAAGGGUGCAUUCUCAGCCCUCUCCUGUACUCCCUGUUCACUCAUGACUGCGUGGCCAUGCACGCCUCCAACUCAAUCAUCAAGUUUGCAGAUGACACUACAAUGGUAGGCUUGAUUACCAACAACGACGAGAUGGCCUACAGGGAGAAAGUUAGGGCCCUCGGAGUGUGGCGUCAGGAAAAUAACCUCAAAAUCAACAAAACAAAGGAGAUGAUCGUGGACUUCAGGAAACAGAAGAGGGAUCACUCCCCCUAUCCACAUCGACGGGAUAGUAGUGGAGAAGGUGGAAGGUUUUAAGUUCCUCGGCGUACACAUCACUUUUACAGAUGCACAAUCAAGAGCAUCCUGUCGGGCUGUAUCACCGCCUGGUACGGCAACUGCUCUGCCCACAACCGUAAGGAUCUCCAGAGGGUAGUGAGGUCUGCACAACGCAUCACCAGGGGUAAACUACCUGCCCUCCAGUACACCUACACCACCGAGCCACUACCUGUUCACCCCACUAUCUUCCAGAAGGCGAGGUCAGUACAGGUGCAUCAAAGCUGGGACCGAGAGACUGAAAAACAGCUUCUAUCUCAAGGCCAUAAGACUGUUAAACAGCCAUCACUAACAUUGUGUGGCUGCUGCCAACAUAGACUCAAUCUCUAGCCACUUUAAAAAUGAAUAAUUUGAUGUAAUAAAUGUAUCACUAGUCACUUUAAACAAUGCCACUUUAUAUAAUGUUUACAUACCCUACAUUACUCAUCUCAUAUGUAUAUACUGUACUCUAUACCAUUUACUGCAUCUUGCCUAUGCCGUUCGGCCUCAUCCAUAUAUUUAUAUGUACAUGGGCUGAAUAAUUUUGCACGCCCAAUUUUUCAGUUUUUGAUUUGUUAAAAAAGUUUGAAAUAUCCAAUAAAUGUCGUUCCAC